rnacentral:rRNA from 1 species
GAUGAACGCUGGCGGCGUGCCUAAUACAUGCAAGUCGAGCGAAUGGAUUAAGAGCUUGCUCUUAUGAAGUUAGCGGCGGACGGGUGAGUAACACGUGGGUAACCUGCCCAUAAGACUGGGAUAACUCCGGGAAACCGGGGCUAAUACCGGAUAACAUUUUGAACCGCAUGGUUCGAAAUUGAAAGGCGGCUCCGGCUGUCACUUAUGGAUGGACCCGCGUCGCAUUAGCUAGUUGGUGAGGUAACGGCUCACCAAGGCAACGAUGCGUAGCCGACCUGAGAGGGUGAUCGGCCACACUGGGACUGAGACACGGCCCAGACUCCUACGGGAGGCAGCGGUAGGGAAUCUCCCGCAAUGGACGGAAGUCUGACGGAGCAACGCCGCGUGAGUGAUGAAGGCUUUCGGGUCGUAAAACUCUGUUGUUAGGGAAGAACAAGUGCUAGUUGAAUAAGCUGGCACCUUGACGGUACCUAACCAGAAAGCCACGGCUAACUACGUGCCAGCAGCCGCCGCGG